rnacentral:rRNA from 1 species
UGGUGUGAAUUGCAGAAUCCCGUGAACCAUCGAGUCUUUGAACGCAAGUUGCGCCCGAAGCCACUAGGCCGAGGGCACGCCUGCCUGGGCRUCACGC